GUGCCAUUGGUGUAUCUGGUAGCAUCACAGUCUUCCAAACUGUGGAAACGAGUUCAAAUCUCGUAUGGCACUCCA
rnacentral:tRNA from 1 species